rnacentral:rRNA from 1 species
GGUAAUUUAAUCUUACAAUCAAAAUAAAUGGAUCAAAAUAAAUAUAAAUCAAUAUACCACAUAAAAGAGGAGUUAAAUAAUUUCCUCCCAUCACCCCAACAAAACAAAAGAUAUGCAAAAAUUCAAAACAAACAAUGAGAAAUACACAAUCAAAUGUCAAACUCUAUAGGGUCUUCUCGUCCCAUAAAAACAUCUAAGAAUUUUAACUUAAACUCCAAAUUCAACAAUAAAUCCAUAAUCAAGACAGCCCAUGUCUCGUCAAGCCAUUCAUACCAGAUCACAAUUAAAGAACUAAUGACUAUGCUACCUUUGCACGGUCAAAAUACCGCGGCCCUUCAACUCAAAUAUACGUCAGCGGGCAGGCCAUACUUCAGAGACUAACAAGAAAAG